rnacentral:rRNA from 1 species
GAUGAACGCUGGCGGCGUGCCUAAUACAUGCAAGUCGAGCGAACAGACGAGGAGCUUGCUCCUCUGACGUUAGCGGCGGACGGGUGAGUAACACGUGGAUAACCUACCUAUAAGGCUGGGAUAACUUCGGGAAACCGGAGCUAAUACCGGAUAAUAUAUUGAACCGCAUGGUUCAAUAGUGAAAGACGGUUUUGCUGUCACUUAUAGAUGGAUCCGCGCCGCAUUAGCUAGUUGGUAAGGUAACGGCUUACCAAGGCGACGAUGCGUAGCCGACCUGAGAGGGUGAUCGGCCACACUGGAACUGAGACACGGUCCAGACUCCUACGGGAGGCAGCAGUAGGGAAUCUUCCGCAAUGGGCGAAAGCCUGACGGAGCAACGCCGCGUGAGUGAUGAAGGUCUUCGGAUCGUAAAACUCUGUUAUUAGGGAAGAACAAAUGUGUAAGUAACUAUGCACGUCUUGACGGUACCUAAUCAGAAAGCCACGGCUAACUACAUG